CCCUUUCUCUCUUUCUCUCACUUCUUAACACGCAAACAACGAGCGAGUAUUUCAAACUCGCGAAAUAUAUUUCGCGCGAUAUGUCCCGCGCGAAAAAAAUAUCGUUCGUGCUCGCGAGGUGAUUAGAGCGAGAUGACGAAAGCGAGGGGGAAACCGGGGAAAGGAAAAAGGAGAGAGAGAGAGAGAGAAAGAAUGGGAUCGGAAACAGGAAUGGGAAAAGCGAAAAGGGACGAGGCGGCAAAGGUACGGAAGGAGAGAAAAAAGGAGAUUGAGAGAAGAGAGAAGCGACAGAGGGCAAAGACGAAACGACGUUGGGACUGUGCCUCGCGAUCUUUAGGCUAAUUUCGCGCAGA
rnacentral:misc_RNA from 1 species